rnacentral:rRNA from 1 species
GACGUAGGGCGCGAGCGUUGUCCGGAUUUAUUGGGCGUAAAGAGCUCGUAGGCGGCUUGUUGCGUCGACCGUGAAAACCCGGGGCUCAACUUCGGGCUUGCGGUCGAUACGGGCGGGCUAGAGUUCGGUAGGGGAGACUGGAAUUCCUGGUGUAGCGGUGAAAUGCGCAGAUAUCAGGAGGAACACCGGUGGCGAAGGCGGGUCUCUGGGCAUGUCCUGACGCUGAGGAGCGAAAGUGUGGGGAGCGAACAGG